rnacentral:rRNA from 1 species
ACACCCGUUCCCAUGCCGAACACGGAAGUUAAGCUCUUCAGCGCCGAUGGUAGUUGGGGGACUCCCCCUGUGAGAGUAGGACGUUGCCAGGU